GACGGAGGGGGCGAGCGUUGUCCGGAAUUACUGGGCGUAAAGGGCGCGUAGGCGGUUUGGUACGGCGGUGGUGAAAGCUCCCGGCUCAACUGGGAGAGGCCCAUCGCGACGGCCAGACUGGAGGCGGGUAGAGGCAGACGGAAUUCCUGGUGUAGCGGUGAAAUGCGUAGAGAUCAGGAGGAACACCCGUGGCGAAGGCGGUCUGCUGGGCCUGGCCUGACGCUGAGGCGCGAAGGCGAGGGGAGCGAACGGGAUUAGAUACCCCGGUAGUCCUCGCGGUAAACGAUGGAAACUAGGUGUCCGCAGUCUCGACCCUGCGGGUGCCGCAGCUAACGCGGGAAGUUUCCCGCCUGGGGAGUACGGCCGCAAGGUUGAA
rnacentral:rRNA from 1 species